rnacentral:rRNA from 1 species
AUUGUGAGCUCGAUGAGUAGGGCGGGACACGUGGUAUCCUGUCUGAAUAUGGGGGGACCAUCCUCCAAGGCUAAAUACUCCUGACUGACCGAUAGUGAACCAGUACCGUGAGGGAAAGGCGAAAAGAACCCCGGCGAGGGGAGUGAAAAAGAACCUGAAACCGUGUACGUACAAGCAGUGGGAGCCUCUUAAUGGGGUGACUGCGUACCUUUUGUAUAAUGGGUCAGCGACUUAUAUUCUGUAGCAAGGUUAACCGAAUAGGGGAGCCGAAGGGAAACCGAGUCUUAACUGGGCGCUAAGUUGCAGGGUAUAGACCCGAAACCCGGUGAUCUAGCCAUGGGCAGGUUGAAGGUUGGGUAACACUAACUGGAGGACCGAACCGACUAAUGUUGAAAAAUUAGCGGAUGACUUGUGGCUGGGGGUGAAAGGCCAAUCAAACCGGGAGAUAGCUGGUUCUCCCCGAAAGCUAUUUAGGUAGCGCCUCGUGAAUUCAUCUCCGGGGGUAGAGCACUGUUUCGGCAAGGGGGUCAUCCCGACUUACCAACCCGAUGCAAACUGCGAAUACCGGAGAAUGUUAUCACGGGAGACACACGGCGGGUGCUAACGUCCGUCGUGAAGAGGGAAACAACCCAGACCGCCAGCUAAGGUCCCAAAGUCAUGGUUAAGUGGGAAACGAUGUGGGAAGGCCCAGACAGCCAGGAUGUUGGCUUAGAAGCAGCCAUCAUUUAAAGAAAGCGUAAUAGCUCACUGGUCGAGUCGGCCUGCGCGGAAGAUGUAACGGGGCUAAACCAUGCACCGAAGCUGCGGCAGCGACACUAUGUGUUGUUGGGUAGGGGAGCGUUCUGUAAGCCUGUGAAGGUGGCCUGUGAGGGUUGCUGGAGGUAUCAGAAGUGCGAAUGCUGACAUAAGUAACGAUAAAGCGGGUGAAAAGCCCGCUCGCCGGAAGACCAAGGGUUCCUGUCCAACGUUAAUCGGGGCAGGGUGAGUCGACCCCUAAGGCGAGGCCGAAAGGCGUAGUCGAUGGGAAACAGGUUAAUAUUCCUGUACUUGGUGUUACUGCGAAGGGGGGACGGAGAAGGCUAUGUUGGCCGGGCGACGGUUGUCCCGGUUUAAGCGUGUAGGCUGGUUUUCCAGGCAAAUCCGGAAAACCAAGGCUGAGGCGUGAUGACGAGGCACUACGGUGCUGAAGCGACAAAUGCCCUGCUUCCAGGAAAAGCCUCUAAGCAUCAGGUAACAUCAAAUCGUACCCCAAACCGACACAGGUGGUCAGGUAGAGAAUACCAAGGCGCUUGAGAGAACUCGGGUGAAGGAACUAGGCAAAAUGGUGCCGUAACUUCGGGAGAAGGCACGCUGAUAUGUAGGUGAAGCGACUUGCUCGUGGAGCUGAAAUCAGUCGAAGAUACCAGCUGGCUGCAACUGUUUAUUAAAAACACAGCACUGUGCAAACACGAAAGUGGACGUAUACGGUGUGACGCCUGCCCGGUGCCGGAAGGUUAAUUGAUGGGGUUAGCGGUAACGCGAAGCUCUUGAUCGAAGCCCCGGUAAACGGCGGCCGUAACUAUAACGGUCCUAAGGUAGCGAAAUUCCUUGUCGGGUAAGUUCCGACCUGCACGAAUGGCGUAAUGAUGGCCAGGCUGUCUCCACCCGAGACUCAGUGAAAUUGAACUCGCUGUGAAGAUGCAGUGUACCCGCGGCAAGACGGAAAGACCCCGUGAACCUUUACUAUAGCUUGACACUGAACAUUGAGCCUUGAUGUGUAGGAUAGGUGGGAGGCUUUGAAGUGUGGACGCCAGUCUGCAUGGAGCCGACCUUGAAAUACCACCCUUUAAUGUUUGAUGUUCUAACGUUGGCCCCUAAUCGGGGUUGCGGACAGUGUCUGGUGGGUAGUUUGACUGGGGCGGUCUCCUCCUAAAGAGUAACGGAGGAGCACGAAGGUUGGCUAAUCCUGGUCGGACAUCAGGAGGUUAGUGCAAUGGCAUAAGCCAGCUUGACUGCGAGCGUGACGGCGCGAGCAGGUGCGAAAGCAGGUCAUAGUGAUCCGGUGGUUCUGAAUGGAAGGGCCAUCGCUCAACGGAUAAAAGGUACUCCGGGGAUAACAGGCUGAUACCGCCCAAGAGUUCAUAUCGACGGCGGUGUUUGGCACCUCGAUGUCGGCUCAUCACAUCCUGGGGCUGAAGUAGGUCCCAAGGGUAUGGCUGUUCGCCAUUUAAAGUGGUACGCGAGCUGGGUUUAGAACGUCGUGAGACAGUUCGGUCCCUAUCUGCCGUGGGCGCUGGAGAACUGAGGGGGGCUGCUCCUAGUACGAGAGGACCGGAGUGGACGCAUCACUGGUGUUCGGGUUGUCAUGCCAAUGGCACUGCCCGGUAGCUAAAUGCGGAAGAGAUAAGUGCUGAAAGCAUCUAAGCACGAAACUUGCCCCGAGAUGAGUUCUCCCUGAGACUUAGAGUCUCCUGAAGGAACGUUGAAGACGACGACGUUGAUAGGCCGGGUGUGUAAGCGCAGCGAUGCGUUGAGCUAACCGGUACUAAUGAACCGUGAGGCUUAACCUUACAACGCCGAAG